GACGAACGCUGGCGGCGUGCUUAACACAUGCAAGUCGAACGGAAAGGCCCUGCUUUUGUGGGGUGCUCGGGUGGCGAACGGGUGAGUAACACGUGAGUAACCUGCCCUUGACUUUGGGAUAACUUCAGGAAACUGGGGCUAAUACCGGAUAGGAGCUCCUGCUGCAUGGUGGGGGUUGGAAAGUUUCGGCGGUUGGGGAUGGACUCGCGGCUUAUCAGCUUGUUGGUGGGGUAGUGGCUUACCAAGGCUUUGACGGGUAGCCGGCCUGAGAGGGUGACCGGCCACAUUGGGACUGAGAUACGGCCCAGACUCCUACGGGAGGCAGAAGUGGGGAAUAUUGCACAAUGGGCGGAAGCCUGAUGCAGCAACGCCGCGUGCGGGAUGACGGCCUUCGGGUUGUAAACCGCUUUCGCCUGUGACGAAGCGUGAGUGACGGUAAUGGGUAAAGAAGCACCGGCUAACUACGUG
rnacentral:rRNA from 1 species